rnacentral:rRNA from 1 species
ACGCUGGCGGCGUGCCUAAUACAUGCAAGUCGAACGAACUCUGGUAUUGAUUGGUGCUUGCAUCAUGAUUUACAUUUGAGUGAGUGGCGAACUGGUGAGUAACACGUGGGAAACCUGCCCAGAAGCGGGGGAUAACACCUGGAAACAGAUGCUAAUACCGCAUAACAACUUGGACCGCAUGGUCCGAGCUUGAAAGAUGGCUUCGGCUAUCACUUUUGGAUGGUCCCGCGGCGUAUUAGCUAGAUGGUGGGGUAAUGGCUCACCAUGGCAAUGAUACGUAGCCGACCUGAGAGGGUAAUCGGCCACAUUGGGACUGAGACACGGCCCAAACUCCUACGGGAGGCAGCAGUAGGGAAUCUUCCACAAUGGACGAAAGUCUGAUGGAGCAACGCCGCGUGAGUGAAGAAGGGUUUCGGCUCGUAAAACUCUGUUGUUAAAGAAGAACAUAUCUGAGAGUAACUGUUCAGGUAUUGACGGUAUUUAACCAGAAAGCCACGGCUAACUACGUGCCAGCAGCCGCGGUAAUACGUAGGUGGCAAGCGUUGUCCGGAUUUAUUGGGCGUAAAGCGAGCGCAGGCGGUUUUUUAAGUCUGAUGUGAAAGCCUUCGGCUCAACCGAAGAAGUGCAUCGGAAACUGGGAAACUUGAGUGCAGAAGAGGACAGUGGAACUCCAUGUGUAGCGGUGAAAUGCGUAGAUAUAUGGAAGAACACCAGUGGCGAAGGCGGCUGUCUGGUCUGUAACUGACGCUGAGGCUCGAAAGUAUGGGUAGCAAACAGGAUUAGAUACCCUGGUAGGUCAUACCGUAAACGAUGAAUGCUAAGUGUUGGAGGGUUUCCGCCCUUCAGUGCUGCAGCUAACGCAUUAAGCAUUCCGCCUGGGGAGUACGGCCGCAAGGCUGAAACUCAAAGGAAUUGACGGGGGCCCGCACAAGCGGUGGAGCAUGUGGUUUAAUUCGAAGCUACGCGAAGAACCUUACCAGGUCUUGACAUACUAUGCAAAUCUAAGAGAUUAGACGUUCCCUUCGGGGACAUGGAUACAGGUGGUGCAUGGUUGUCGUCAGCUCGUGUCGUGAGAUGUUGGGUUAAGUCCCGCAACGAGCGCAACCCUUAUUAUCAGUUGCCAGCAUUAAGUUGGGCACUCUGGUGAGACUGCCGGUGACAAACCGGAGGAAGGUGGGGAUGACGUCAAAUCAUCAUGCCCCUUAUGACCUGGGCUACACACGUGCUACAAUGGAUGGUACAACGAGUUGCGAACUCGCGAGAGUAAGCUAAUCUCUUAAAGCCAUUCUCAGUUCGGAUUGUAGGCUGCAACUCGCCUACAUGAAGUCGGAAUCGCUAGUAAUCGCGGAUCAGCAUGCCGCGGUGAAUACGUUCCCGGGCCUUGUACACACCGCCCGUCACACCAUGAGAGUUUGUAACACCCAAAGUCGGUGGGGUAACCUUUUAGGAACCAGCCGCCUAAGGUGGGACAGAUGAUUAGGGUGAAGUCGUAACAAGGUAACCGGGUCAUA